rnacentral:tRNA from 1 species
CAAGAAAUAGUUUAAAUAAAAUAUUAAUUUUGGGUAUUAAUGAUAAAGAAGUUCUUUUUUCUUGA